GGCAUGUCACAGAAGUUUUACGAAAUCGAUUUAUUUCACCUUUUCCAAAUCGUUACGAUUUGCUUUUGCUUCUUCAGCACUCGUACGUUUUGACUAUUCCGGAAAAAAAAUCAUUUCACAUUUUUGAAAUAAAAAUAUGGUAACUCCAUGAAAAAAAAAAAGUCGUAAACAAAUUAUUGACAAUUAAAAAAGGAGUUUAAAUUGUUUUUUAUAAUAUAAACACCAAAAGUAAAAAUGCCAGGGGCUUCAAUACUUGCUGUAAUGGAUGAAGAAAUAAAUCAGCGGUCUACUGAAAAAAUUCGUCGCCGGACAUUGAGGAACGCAUCAGAUCCUUUAUCUCACUCAAAUGCAGAGUUUAUAACUUAUUAUCGGCUAAAUAAAGAAGCUUUUGUUUUAGUUUUCUCCCCACCUCAAACGUUCCAAUAUACCGGCUAUUAUCCAGCUUGCAACAGCGCUUAGGUUUUUGGCUACGGGUGCAUUUCAAGGAGUUAUAGGUAGAGAUGUGGAGCUAAGCCUUGGGAGAAGUACAGUUUCUACAAUUAUGUUGAGAGUUAUUAAUGCAAUUGAAGCUGAAAUUUGUCCACAUUGGAUCAAAUUAAGAAUGUCUUCCGAAGAAAAAAGAAAGUCAGUUGUACAUUUCUACACCUUCUUCUUCAACACAUAUGGCAAUAAUUCAACAAUACAAGUCUGCCGUUCAUUUCUGCAUAUUUUUUUGCGUUUUCAUCAUGGAUUAGAAAAAUAAUAGAUUUUUUGUAAAAUAAAUUCCAAAAACAU